rnacentral:rRNA from 1 species
UACGUAGGGGGCAAGCGUUAUCCGGACUCACUGGGUGUAAAGGGAGCGUAGACGGCGACGCAAGUCUGGAGUGAAAGCCCGGGGCCCAACCCCGGGACUGCUCUGGAAACUGCGUCGCUGGAGUACGGGAGGGGCAGGCGGAAUUCCUGGUGUAGCGGUGAAAUGCGUAGAUAUCAGGAGGAACACCGGCGGCGAAGGCGGCCUGCUGGACCGUGACUGACGUUGAGGCUCGAGAGCGUGGGGAGCAAACAGG